UGCUUUGUCUUACCUCCGGCAGUGUGCAGCAGUGUUUCCAGAAGCGCGCAGCACAAAGCGACUCUCCAGAUCCAGGUCCCUGGGGGGGUCCACAUGGUGUCCCUCUGCGUGUUUAUCAGCUCUCCCCGGACUGACUACUCCUCCCAUCCCUGACAGCAGAUCCAGGACCCCUCCAUGGACCUCCGGGUCCUCCUCGAUCUUACACAGAGAACAGGGGAACCUGGAAGAAGAGACAAAACCCGAGUAUAGGCAGAUAAUGUCACUCAAACUGCAGCAGGGAUUUCUCCUCUCUCUCUCUCUCUCUCUCCCUCUCUCCCUCUCUCUCUCUCCCUCUCUCCCUCUCUCUCUCUCUCUCCUCCCCUUUCUAACUGGGGAUUAUAUUAACCAUUUCCCUGCUGGCUCCAGACUGAGGCUGACUCCAGUCCCUGCAUGCAGUGAGGACCCCUGUUGGUGGAGUGAGGAGCUGCUCCUGGAGGAGAGGAUCUGUUGCUAAGGGAAACAUGAGCAGAAUGUAAAUGUGUGUUUGUUCAGCUGUCUGCAGUUUACAGAGGGACAGAGAGGAGGACCAAUCUGAGACAGGAUGAGAGAAUAAAUGACACAAUAUUACAGAAUCAUACAUGUAAAAUAAAUUUGUAUAUUUCA